CCUACGGGAGGCAGCAGUGGGGAAUAUUGGGCAAUGGGCGCAAGCCUGACCCAGCAACGCCGCGUGAAGGAAGAAGUCUUUCGGGUUGUAAAGUUCUUUUGACAGGGAAGAGUGGAAGACGGUACCUGUCGUAUAAGCUACGGCUAGCUACGUUCCAGCAGACGAGGUACGACGUAGGUGGGAGGGGUUGUCCGGAUUUGAUGGGUGUAAAGGGCGUGUAGACGGGUUGACAAGUCAUAUGUGAAAUACUGCGGCUUAACCGCAGAAAGGCAUGUGAAACUGUUGAUCUUGAGGACUGGAGAGGCAGACGGAAGUCCGAGUGGAGCGGUGAAAUGCGUAGAUAUGAGGAGGAACACCAGUGGCGAAGGCGGCCUGCUGGACAGAAACUGACGGUGAGGCGCGAAAGCGUGGGGAGCAAACAGGAUUAGAUACCCGGGUAGUC
rnacentral:rRNA from 1 species